rnacentral:tRNA from 1 species
GGGGCUGUGGCUCAGUGGAAGAGCCUCUGCUUUAUAUGCAGAAUGUCCAGGUUUGAUCCCCAGCAUCUCCA